rnacentral:misc_RNA from 1 species
AAUCGGCUCAGCACAUGCGCGCGCGGCCACGGCGCGCCAUCCUCACGCUACACAGCGACACUCACACGCAUAGACACACACGCACACACAUAAAGAGCGUGCCGGCACCCGAGAGGGCACUCGCGCGCACGCAUUGGUUCACCUCAACUAGAAGCGAAUCAAACGACGAGUGGUGCGAGAAACGUGCACUGGCGCUAUCAUCAUGCCGCCAUGGCCGAUACUCGUUACCAUCCACAACCUCGUGAAUGUGCCGCUGUCCGCUUGUGAGAACGGCCUGCGGUCGUUCGUCGUGGAGGCACACAUGGUGCUUCGCGUCUCCGCUUACUCUGCUCCAGUGGCCACGGCGACGUUCACCACGGACGACGUUGUGUCAACCACUCCCAACCUAUUUGAAGUGCGUUUCGACGAUGCCGCUCGGUGCACUUCCGACGGAGACGGGGGCGGGCCAAAGGUGUGGCGAUGCGCGGUGCCGGAGCUCGAGGUGGUGGUGGUGGUGAGAGAAAUCACUCGCAGCAUCAGAGGCUCCUCCUCUCCUUAUCGUCCAGGUCGUCGUGCAGACGGAGAUCUCGAUGGCACGCGUGUCGUGGGCACCUCAGCUCCACUGCCGCUCAACGCGAAGGACAUUGUGGAGGUGCACAAACUCACGACACGGAUCGUGGGGACGGAAAUGGGUCAGGUGGGGCUUUCCUUCACCGUAGACCCAGGCGACAAGGCGGGGUACCGCCACCGCCUGGAGAGCUUCUUGCGCGCGUACAACCCGCAAGGACUGCGGCUUGUGCCCAACGUGGUAGAGGUCGUCUCGGAGCUGGACACAUUCACAAAGCUAUAUCGGCGCUACUCGAUUCAAAACUACGAGGAGCGACUGGCAAGCUUCUUCGACGUGUACGGUCCUCAGUACAAGAGCGAAAUCCCAUCGCUACUGCGGCAGUGGGAGGGCCGAGAGGAGGAGCUGAUGCGCAACUUAGUGCUCGACAAUGGCCCAGAGGUGACCACGAUCGAUCAGCACCAGCGACUGACCGCGUACCUGGCUGCCUAUCAGCUUGAUCAGAACUCCUCCGGCGUACAAGAGAUAUUCGCCGCACAUGCGGGUGAGAAGGAGGCGAGCAUACCAGCGGGACUGUUUUCUGCUCUCGUGGAGCGCUACGGCCCGGAGCCCGAUCCGCGCACGUACCUGUUCGCCACGCCUCGGUACACCCCCGCACCACCAUCACCCCCGCGGACCAGGGAAGUCCCGGUGGGGGCCGGCAGUCACGGCCACUCCCACUUUUCUUUGCAUCACGGCUCCCCGUCGCUUGCGAGAAGUAGCGCAGGAGCGAGUGCUGCGGCCGCCGCUGCUCCACAGCGCUGUCCGCCGACGCCUGCCCCGGAGCGCCCGUAUGUUUCUGUGCCCAUGUUCCCCACACCGAUUCCAAAUCGGGAGGCGCCGCUGGAGACGGCACGCUCGCUUGAUCGAUCGCCCAGCUUUGCCGUUGAUGACGGUGCUCCACGUGGCGGCGAACACAGGGCUACUGUGGCGGGUGAUCGGCAUGAAACGAAGCCCGUCAUCACACCAAAGGACCAAGUGAUCGUGCCGAGCACGACCAUCGGUGCGAGCCGGCGAGACGUCACCGCAUUGCGGGACGCUUUGUGGCGCAAGAUGUGCUCGAUGAUGCAGACACGGCAGCGGCACUCCAAGCCGUGGCGGGAGCACCUUCUUUUUUUUUUAGACCAAGACGAGUUUGCAGCGGCGGUGCGCGCCCUGCACGUGUUCAGUGAGGCACCGGACGGAGGGGAGGUUCAGGUGCUGGUAGAGGAGUGGACGCACCGCCUGGAUCACGCUUUUCGCACAGAAGCACUGGGUUCAGGCGAUGCGUACUACGCGGCUGCCGUGCAGGAGGCAGUGCGGCUGACCAGACUCCAGCCGCUGCAUCUGCAGGUGAUGAGUGUGAGCUCUCUCUUUCACAAGGAGCAGUACGCCGGGUUCGUGGCGUACGUGGAAGGGCAGGCGAAGCGGGCCAAGACGGAGCGCCUGGUACUGGUCGGAGGCUGGAAGAAUCUCAUGGACGUCGCCCGUUUUGGCCUUCGCGCCGCGGCAGACCCCGCAGGUCGCUACGGAGAUGUGCUUGCAUCCUCCUUGGCCACGGUACACGACGCAAGUGCGACAACAGGCGACGGCCCGUUUAUCUUCCUACGCGAACCUUUUCGGCACUGCACGGAAAAGCACUCCUGUGCCCUUCUCGUCUGCGAGGUCGCGGUGGGUGAAAUGUACUCGUGCCCUACCACCGUGCACGCACCGCGGAGGUCGGCCGCCGACUUCCUCGCCAAGUACGACAGCUGCGCCUACGUUGACCAAGCCAACGGACCAGUCGUCGCUGUCUACUUUCGCCAGCAGGUGUUACCACGACUUCUUCUGCAGUGUGUCGUCGACCCGCAGCUGCAGCCGUGCCCCGCGCACCCCGAUAGGCCGGUUGAGUACUACGUGAUGGAAAACCACGCAUUCGCGUGCAGCCGCUGUGUAGUGAUGGGCGCCUACAAGGGUAAGGAGGUGGCACCGAUUGAGGAAGCCGCAGUGAUGGCGCGGGCGGGUCUGGCAGAGGUCGAGCGGAUGGUCAGCGCGCUGAAAGAGAGCAUGCUCGCCUACGCCAACCAGCUCCAAAACGAAGAGAGCAGCAUGCCCACCGCGCCUCGCCGCGUAGAGGCGGAGCGCGAGAUUGACCGGCUGCAGAAAGAGACGGAGGAGCGCGUUCGCAGGAUUCGCAGACAGGUGCAACUGGAGGAUGAGGCGCAGCUCUCCCGCAUCAAUGCCGAGCGCACCGAGGUGCAGGCGACCCUGGAAGCUGUGGACGGGCUUGGCGAGAAACUGGCAUUUGCCAUGCAGCAGCGUACGCCAGUUGCGGCUGUGAAUGCGCUGCAGCACAUCCAGCAGGAGAGACAGGUGGAGCAGCUCAUGGCAAGGGCCCAGGAGCGGGUGCCGUCGGCUCCGUUGGAGCUGGUUCUGCCCUUGGAUGGGCCGCCGCCGGCAUUGCCGCCUCGUUCUUCGCCCACCUCCAAAGUGCGCUCAAAAGGCUCGCCGGUGGUGGUGGGAUUGAAUGAGAGUCGCUUGCCGGAGGCCUCGGCUGACGACGGGCGUGAAUCCCGCGUGCCAGGAUCCGCAGCGCCACACGCGUCGCGUGCCCCGUCCACGCGUCAUACAAAGCACGCUUCACCGCCGCCAAGCAGCUUGUACGCCCAGUAUCUUGCGAUUGCUGGCGCAGAUGGAAAAAGGGCUGUUGCAGAAGGAUCGUCUCGCAUCGAGCAACCGAGUCUCGAUCGCAGCACGGCGGUUUUUGCCAGCCGCCCUCGUCCCGUUCCCGUCCCCGCUAGCGAUGACAGCGACGGUGGGGGUGAGAUGAGCGCCCUCUCUGCGAAGGAGGCGCUCACGCGUGGAUGGGCGUUACUAAGGCGCGGGGACGUCGCCGCAGCGCAUCGUGCGUGGACGGCGGUGUGCCGCGCUCACGGCACCAACGACGUGAUGGGCACAAAGGCUCACGCUUACAUUGCGGAGGCGAUCGAGAAGGACUAUGCGGCAGCUGCGCAGUGGUAUGCCCGCUCGCUGCAGCUAGACCCGCAGGACCGCAUGACCGCGUACAACUACGGCGUGCUUCUGGAGGCGCUGCUCGACAAGCCGCAGGAGGCUCUGCGACUGUACGACCGCGCCGCUGCACUCGGCGACGCAGUGGCAGGUGCCCGGGCCCGGGAGUUGCGGUCUAGGCUUGCCGCUUCUACUUCUCGGCAGUAGUAGCAGCAGACGACGUCCACAUCACCCGCUCGUGUCCAGCGGCGGCGAGAGGGGAUCGGGGGCAAGGAGGCAAGCGCAUAUGGGUGCACAACGGCUGACCGCUCACACCGCCUACGUUAUGUCUGCGGAGAGGUCGCAGAGCAGCGGGGAGAAGCUCAUGGACAGGCAUCCGCAACUGACUGCUCCCCAUUUCUCUUCCAACUCCCUCGUCCUUUCUAGGAGGAAGAGGCAUUCAUGUACCGCUAC